GGGGGAUUAGUGGCGAACGGGUGAGUAACACGUGAGUAACCUGCCCUUGACUCUGGGAUAAGCCUGGGAAACUGGGUCUAAUACCGGAUACGACCAUCUGACGCAUGUCAUGGUGGUGGAAAGCUUUUGUGGUUUUGGAUGGACUCGCGGCCUAUCAGCUUGUUGGUGGGGUAAUGGCCUACCAAGGCGACGACGGGUAGCCGGCCUGAGAGGGUGACCGGCCACACUGGGACUGAGACACGGCCCAGACUCCUACGGGAGGCAGCAGUGGGGAAUAUUGCACAAUGGGCGCAAGCCUGAUGCAGCGACGCCGCGUGAGGGAUGACGGCCUUCGGGUUGUAAACCUCUUUCAGUAGGGAAGAAGCGAAAGUGACGGUACCUGCAGAAGAAGCGCCGGCUAACUACGUGCCAGCAGCCGCGGUAAUACGUAGGGCGCAAGCGUUAUCCGGAAUUAUUGGGCGUAAAGAGCUCGUAGGCGGUUUGUCGCGUCUGCUGUGAAAGACCGGGGCUCAACUCCGGUUCUGCAGUGGGUACGGGCAGACUAGAGUGCAGUAGGGGAGACUGGAAUUCCUGGUGUAGCGGUGAAAUGCGCAGAUAUCAGGAGGAACACCGAUGGCGAAGGCAGGUCUCUGGGCAUUAACUGACGCUGAGGAGCGAAAGCAUGGGGAGCGAACAGGAUUAGAUACCCUGGUAGUCCAUGCCGUAAACGUUGGGCACUAGGUGUGGGGGACAUUCCACGUUUUCCGCGCCGUAGCUAACGCAUUAAGUGCCCCGCCUGGGGAGUACGGCCGCAAGGCUAAAACUCAAAGGAAUUGACGGGGGCCCGCACAAGCGGCGGAGCAUGCGGAUUAAUUCGAUGCAACGCGAAGAACCUUACCAAGGCUUGACAUGAACCGGUAAUACCUGGAAACAGGUGCCCCGCUUGCGGUCGGUUUACAGGUGGUGCAUGGUUGUCGUCAGCUCGUGUCGUGAGAUGUUGGGUUAAGUCCCGCAACGAGCGCAACCCUCGUUCUAUGUUGCCAGCGCGUUAUGGCGGGGACUCAUAGGAGACUGCCGGGGUCAACUCGGAGGAAGGUGGGGACGACGUCAAAUCAUCAUGCCCCUUAUGUCUUGGGCUUCACGCAUGCUACAAUGGCCGGUACAAAGGGUUGCGAUACUGUGAGGUGGAGCUAAUCCCAAAAAGCCGGUCUCAGUUCGGAUUGGGGUCUGCAACUCGACCCCAUGAAGUCGGAGUCGCUAGUAAUCGCAGAUCAGCAACGCUGCGGUGAAUACGUUCCCGGGCCUUGUACACACCGCCCGU
rnacentral:rRNA from 1 species